rnacentral:rRNA from 2 species
AGAGUUUGAUCCUGGCUCAGGUGCCGAGCUAUACUGCAGUCGAACGAACUCUGGUAUUGAUUGGUGCUUGCAUCAUGAUUUACAUUUGAGUGAGUGGCGAACUGGUGAGUAACACGUGGGAAACCUGCCCAGAAGCGGGGGAUAACACCUGGAAACAGAUGCUAAUACCGCAUAACAACUUGGACCGCAUGGUCCGAGUUUGAAAGAUGGCUUCGGCUAUCACUUUUGGAUGGUCCCGCGGCGUAUUAGCUAGAUGGUGGGGUAACGGCUCACCAUGGCAAUGAUACGUAGCCGACCUGAGAGGGUAAUCGGCCACAUUGGGACUGAGACACGGCCCAAACUCCUACGGGAGGCAGCAGUAGGGAAUCUUCCACAAUGGACGAAAGUCUGAUGGAGCAACGCCGCGUGAGUGAAGAAGGGUUUCGGCUCGUAAAACUCUGUUGUUAAAGAAGAACAUAUCUGAGAGUAACUGUUCAGGUAUUGACGGUAUUUAACCAGAAAGCCACGGCUAACUACGUGCCAGCAGCCGCGGUAAUACGUAGGUGGCAAGCGUUGUCCGGAUUUAUUGGGCGUAAAGCGAGCGCAGGCGGUUUUUUAAGUCUGAUGUGAAAGCCUUCGGCUCAACCGAAGAAGUGCAUCGGAAACUGGGAAACUUGAGUGCAGAAUAGGACAGUGGAACUCCAUGUGUAGCGGUGAAAUGCGUAUAUAUAUGGAAGAACACCAGUGGCGAAGGCGGCUGUCUGGUCUGUAACUGACGCUGACGCUCGAAAGUAUGGGUAGCAAACAGGAUUAGAUACCCUGGUAGUCCAUACCGUACACGAUGAAUGCUAAGUGUUGGAGGGUUUCCGCCCUUCACUGCUGCAGCUAACGCAUUAAGUCAUUCCAGCCUGGGGAGUACUGCUGCAAGGCUGACAACUCACAUGUAAUUGACGAGGUGCCCGCACAGCUGUGCAGCAUGUAGCUUUCAAUUCGAAGCUACGCGAAGAACCUUACCUAGGUCUUGACAUACUAUGCUAGAUCU